rnacentral:rRNA from 1 species
AACACUGACUUCGACCUGAGA